rnacentral:rRNA from 1 species
UAGGGAAUCUUCCACAAUGGACGAAAGUCUGAUGGAGCAACGCCGCGUGAGUGAAGAAGGUUUUCGGAUCGUAAAGCUCUGUUGUUGGUGAAGAAGGGUAGAGGCAGUAACUGGUCUUUAUUUGACGGUAAUCAACCAGAAAGUCACGGCUAACUACGUGCCAGCAGCCGCGGUAAUACGUAGGUGGCAAGCGUUGUCCGGAUUUAUUGGGCGUAAAGCGAGCGCAGGCGGAAUGAUAAGUCUGAUGUGAAAGCCCACGGCUCAACCGUGGAACUGCAUCGGAAACUGUCAUUCUUGAGUGCAGAAGAGGAGAGUGGAACUCCAUGUGUAGCGGUGGAAUGCGUAGAUAUAUGGAAGAACACCAGUGGCGAAGGCGGCUCUCUGGUCUGCAACUGACGCUGAGGCUCGAAAGCAUGGGUAGCGAACAGGAUUAGAUACCCUGGUAGUCCAUGCCGUAAACGAUGAGCGCUAGGUGUUGG